rnacentral:rRNA from 1 species
AUGCACGCUGGCGGCGUGCCUAAUACAUGCCAGUCGAGCGAACAGAUGAGGAGCUUGCUCCUCUGACGUUAGCGGCGGACGGGUGAGUAACACGUGGAUAACCUACCUAUAAGACUGGGAUAACUUCGGGAAACCGGAGCUAAUACCGGAUAAUAUAUUGAACCGCACGGUUCAAUAGUGAAAGACGGUUUUGCUGUCACUUAUAGAUGGAUCCGCGCCGCAUUAGCUAGUUGGUAAGGUAACGGCUUACCAAGGCAACGAUGCGUAGCCGACCUGAGAGGGUGAUCGGCCACACUGGAACUGAGACACGGUCCAGACUCCUACGGGAGGCAGCAGUAGGGAAUCUUCCGCAAUGGGCGAAAGCCUGACGGAGCAACGCCGCGUGAGUGAUGAAGGUCUUCGGAUCGUAAAACUCUGUUAUUAGGGAAGAACAAAUGUGUAAGUAACUAUGCACGUCUUGACGGUACCUAAUCAGAAAGCCACGGCUAACUACGUG